UGCAGUCGAGCGAACAGAUAAGGAGCUUGCUCCUUUGACGUUAGCGGCGGACGGGUGAGUAACACGUGGGUAACCUACCUAUAAGACUGGGAUAACUUCGGGAAACCGGAGCUAAUACCGGAUAACAUUUGGAACCGCAUGGUUCUAAAGUGAAAGAUGGUUUUGCUAUCACUUAUAGAUGGACCCGCGCCGUAUUAGCUAGUUGGUAAGGUAACGGCUUACCAAGGCGACGAUACGUAGCCGACCUGAGAGGGUGAUCGGCCACACUGGAACUGAGACACGGUCCAGACUCCUACGGGAGGCAGCAGUAGGGAAUCUUCCGCAAUGGGCGAAAGCCUGACGGAGCAACGCCGCGUGAGUGAUGAAGGGUUUCGGCUCGUAAAACUCUGUUAUUAGGGAAGAACAAAUGUGUAAGUAACUGUGCACAUCUUGACGGUACCUAAUCAGAAAGCCACGGCUAACUACGUGCCAGCAGCCGCGGUAAUACGUAGGUGGCAAGCGUUAUCCGGAAUUAUUGGGCGUAAAGCGCGCGUAGGCGGUUUCUUAAGUCUGAUGUGAAAGCCCACGGCUCAACCGUGGAGGGUCAUUGGAAACUGGGAAACUUGAGUGCAGAAGAGGAAAGUGGAAUUCCAUGUGUAGCGGUGAAAUGCGCAGAGAUAUGGAGGAACACCAGUGGCGAAGGCGACUUUCUGGUCUGUAACUGACGCUGAUGUGCGAAAGCGUGGGGAUCAAACAGGAUUAGAUACCCUGGUAGUCCACGCCGUAAACGAUGAGUGCUAAGUGUUAGGGGGUUUCCGCCCCUUAGUGCUGCAGCUAACGCAUUAAGCACUCCGCCUGGGGAGUACGACCGCAAGGUUGAAACUCAAAGGAAUUGACGGGGACCCGCACAAGCGGUGGAGCAUGUGGUUUAAUUCGAAGCAACGCGAAGAACCUUACCAAAUCUUGACAUCCUUUGAAAACUCUAGAGAUAGAGCCUUCCCCUUCGGGGGACAAAGUGACAGGUGGUGCAUGGUUGUCGUCAGCUCGUGUCGUGAGAUGUUGGGUUAAGUCCCGCAACGAGCGCAACCCUUAAGCUUAGUUGCCAUCAUUAAGUUGGGCACUCUAGGUUGACUGCCGGUGACAAACCGGAGGAAGGUGGGGAUGACGUCAAAUCAUCAUGCCCCUUAUGAUUUGGGCUACACACGUGCUACAAUGGACAAUACAAAGGGCAGCUAAACCGCGAGGUCAUGCAAAUCCCAUAAAGUUGUUCUCAGUUCGGAUUGUAGUCUGCAACUCGACUACAUGAAGCUGGAAUCGCUAGUAAUCGUAGAUCAGCAUGCUACGGUGAAUACGUUCCCGGGUCUUGUACACACCGCCCGUCACACCACGAGAGUUUGUAACACCCGAAGCCGGUGGAGUAACCAUUUA
rnacentral:rRNA from 1 species